rnacentral:rRNA from 1 species
AUUGAACGCUGGCGGCGUGCCUAAUACAUGCAAGUCGAGCGAAUGGAUUAAGAGCUUGCUCUUAUGAAGUUAGCGGCGGACGGGUGAGUAACACGUGGGUAACCUGCCCAUAAGACUGGGAUAACUCCGGGAAACCGGGGCUAAUACCGGAUAACAUUUUGAACCGCAUGGUUCGAAAUUGAAAGGCGGCUUCGGCUGUCACUUAUGGAUGGACCCGCGUCGCAUUAGCUAGUUGGUGAGGUAACGGCUCACCAAGGCAACGAUGCGUAGCCGACGUGGGAGGGGGAUCGGCCACACUGGGACUGGGACACGGCCCAGACUCCUACGGGAGGCAGCAGUAGGGAAUCUUCCGCAAUGGACGAAAGUCUGACGGAGCAACGCCGCGUGAGUGAUGAAGGCUUUCGGGUCGUAAAACUCUGUUGUUAGGGAAGAACAAGUGCUAGUUGAAUAAGCUGACACCUUGACGGUACCUAACCAGAAAGCCACGGCUAACUACGUGCCAGCAGCAGCCGCGG